rnacentral:misc_RNA from 1 species
ACCUUCUUCUUCCAUCUCCCUCACCAAAGCUUCAGCUUUAUCCAUAUUACAUGUUUGACACUGAGAAUAAAUUAUGUUCCCAUAAAUGAUUGUAUUCAUAUUUGAAAGUCUCUCUUUGGCCUCCUUAAACCAGUGAUCUGCAGCUUGAGCAUCGCCGAUUUUGGCAAAUCCCCCCACAAUUAUGCUAUAAGUCACCAAACUCAUUUCAAUUCCCUCUUCUUUCAUUUUCCUAACACAAGACAAUGCUUCUUCCAUGUCUCUACCAACUGCAUAAGCGUGAAUAAGGCUUGUGUAGACAUGUGAUGUUGGCUCUAUUCCCCUUGCUCUCAUGCUCUCAAAUGUUUGCCGAGCACGAUGCAUAUCCCCUCGCCUUGCAUAAUAG